GACGAACGCUGGCGGCGUGCUUAACACAUGCAAGUCGAACGAAGUGGCGAACGGGUGAGUAAAGCGUAAUAAACCUGCCCUUCAGAGGGGGACAACAGUUGGAAACGACUGCUAAUACCACAUACUGAAGGAGGGGAUUGCGUCUGAUUAGCUAGUUGGAGGGUUAACGGCCCCCAAAGGAGAUGAUCAGUAGCCGGUCUGGGAGUAUGCACGGCCACAUUGGGCCUGCGACACGGCCCGGACUCCUACGGGAGGCUGCUGUGGGGAAUCUUCCGCAAUGGACGAAAGUCUGACGGAGCAACGCCGCGUGAGUGAGGACGGCCUUCGGGUUGUAAAGCUCUGUUAAUCGGGACGCGGUACCGGAAUAGAAAGCCACGGCUAACUACGUGCCAGCCGCCGCGGUAAUUC
rnacentral:rRNA from 1 species